CAUCCUCACCCAGCGCCUCUCAGUAGGAGGCUGUCCUGUGAGGCUGGCCGUUGUGACAGGCCCUGGCUCGGCCAGUUUGUGCUUUUCCAGUCUUGCUCAGUCUGGGUCACUCUUGCAGUCUUUUCUGAGUGGAAGGCUCGAACGUGAACUUCCUCACCUGGGGCUCCUAUGACUAGGAGCUGUCUUGGGCUUGAAGCUGACAUCUUGCAAAUAACAUUGAGUCAGAGCAUGAGGGUGAAGACCCCAGACUCUGAACCUGUAUUUUCUGAGUUGAAGUCCCAGCUCUGUCACUUGCAAGCUGUGUGACCUCAAGUGAAUUGUUGAAUCUCUCUCAGCCUCAUUGGCUCACUUUCCUCACUUUUGUUAAAGAGUUAUAUUGAAGAUUAAAUGAGGACAUUGUCUGCCACAGAGAAAACAUUACUUGAUCCAACCUUGGUGCAAAGAGUCUUUCUCUCUGAGGACCCACUCUGCUACUUCAAGGCUCCCUUCACAUCUAAGCAUUUAAGGAUAGUGAGGAUUUGGUGAAUGUAAAGGUCUUGACUCCAAGAUUACCAUUUGGAAAGUUUAACUUAUUGACAGUGUCUUUUCUCACCAUUCCCCCUACUUCCUGCCAUAAAAAAACAAAACAAAAACAAAAACAAACAGGCACAAACAAGCAAAAAACAAAAAAAACAAAAAACCUGAAAUGUGUUCUUCAACAAUAAUGGAAACCUGUUCUUAUUUGUGGGAAGAAAAAAAAAAAAAACCCUGCAAAGUCCAAAUCCUCAA